rnacentral:rRNA from 2 species
CCAAUAGCGUAUAUUAAAGUUGUUGCAGUUAAAAAGCUCGUAGUUGAACUUCGGGAUUUGCCCAUUGGUCAGGCUUAACUGUCUGUACUGGUGUGACGAGUUCCUACCUUCUGAGGAAUCUCCAUGUCAUUCAGUUGGUGUGGGGGGGAAUCAGGACUGUUACUUUGAAAAAAUUAGAGUGUUUAAAGCAGGCGUCCGUC